AACGAACGCUGGCGGCAGGCUUAACACAUGCAAGUCGAACGCCCCGCAAGGGGAGUGGCAGACGGGUGAGUAACGCGUGGGAACAUACCCUUUUCUGCGGAAUAGCUCUGGGAAACUGGAAUUAAUCCCGCAUACGCCCUACGGGGGAAAGAUUUAUCGGGGAAGGAUUGGCCCGCGUUGGAUUAGCUAGUUGGUGGGGUAAAGGCCUACCAAGGCGACGAUCCAUAGCUGGUCUGAGCGGAUGAUCAGCCACAUUGGGACUGAGACACGGCCCAGCCUCCAAGGGGGGGACGCAGUGGGGAAUAUUGGACGAUGGGCGCAAGCCUGAUCCGGCGAUGCCGCGUGAGUGAUGAAGGCCUUAGGGUUGUAAAGCUCUUUCACCGGUGAAGAUAAUGACGGUAACCGGAGAAGAAGCCCCGGCUAACGUCGUGCCAGCCGCCGCGGUAACAC
rnacentral:rRNA from 1 species